rnacentral:rRNA from 1 species
GGGCCCGCACAAGCGGUGGAGCAUGUGGUUUAAUUCGAUGAUACGCGAGGAACCUUACCAGGGCUUAAAUGUAGUGGGACAGGUCUAGAGAUAGACCCUUCUUCGGACUCAUUACAAGGUGCUGCAUGGUUGUCGUCAGCUCGUGCCGUGAGGUGUUAGGUUAAGUCCUGCAACGAGCGCAACCCCUAUUCUUAGUUGCCAGCGGUUCGGCCGGGGACUCUAAGAAGACUGCCAGCGCAAGCUGAGAGGAAGGUGGGGAUGACGUCAAAUCAUCACGGCCCUUACGUCCUGGGCUACACACGUGCUACAAUGGCGGUGACAGUGGGAAGCAAUAGGGCGACCUGGAGCA